rnacentral:lncRNA from 1 species
GGAUGUGAGGGUGAUAGGGUUGUGACACCUGUCACCACAUUGAUCACCAGGGUUGAUUCGGCGAUCUGGCUGGCUAGGUGGGUGUCCCCUUCCUCCCUCACCACUCCGUGUGAGUCCCUCCAGAACUUGAGUUCCAUCAAAGAGGAUGACCAUCCCAAUAGAGGAGGACCAGUCUUCUGUCAAGAGUAUACAAGUAUCUGUACUCGCCUGCUAGAACCUCCAAACAAGCUCUCAA